UACGUAGGGUGCGAGCGUUAAUCGGAAUUACUGGGCGUAAAGCGUGCGCAGGCGGUUUUGUAAGCCAGAUGUGAAAUCCCCGGGCUUAACCUGGGAAUGGCAUUUGGGACUGCAAGGCUGGAGUGUGGCAGAGGAGACUGGAAUUCCUGGUGUAGCAGUGAAAUGCGUAGAUAUCAGGAGGAAUACCGAUGGCGAAGGCAGGUCUCUGGGCAUUAACUGACGCUGAGGAGCGAAAGCAUGGGGAGCGAACAGG
rnacentral:rRNA from 1 species